UGAAUACGAGAUGCUACGGCAUUGAAGCAGUGUAUGUCAGACUUCCAAGAAAAGCUCGCAAUGUCAUAAACAAUAAAUGCCUGUACCAUAACCGACACAGGUGGGUAGGCAGUAUACUAAGGGGCGCGAGAUAACUCUCUCUAAGGAACUCGGCAAAAUGACUCCGUAACUUCGGGAGAAGGAGUGCCUUAUUUUAUAAGGUUGCAAUAACAAGAUCCAAGCAACUGUUUACCAAAAACACAGGUCUCCGCUAAGUCGAAAGACGAUGUAUGGGGGCUGACGCCUGCCCAGUGCCAGAAGGUUAAAGAAGUUGGUUAGCUUCGGCGAAGCUGAUGACUGAAGCCCUGGUGAACGGCGGCCGUAACUAUAACGGUCCUAAGGUAGCGAAAUUCCUUGUCGGGUAAGUUCCGACCCGCAUGAAAGGCGUAAUGAUUUGGAUACUGUCUCGGAGAGGGGCUCGGUGAAAUAGACUUGUCUGUGAAGAUGCGGACUACCUGCACCUGGACAGAAAGACCCUAUGAAGCUUUACUGUAACUUGAGAUUGAAAUUGGACUUUAUUUGCGCAGUAUAGGUGGGAGACGUUGAGAAUAUUCUUGCGGGAAUAUUGGAGUCAUCAGUGAGAUACCACUCUUGUAAUGUUAGAUUUCUAACUUUGUAUCAUUAUCUGGUCAAAGGACAGUUUCAGGCGGGCAGUUUGACUGGGGCGGUCGCCUCCUAAACGGUAACGGAGGCGCACAAAGGUUUCCUCUGAACGUGUAGAAAUCGUAUCUAGAGUGUAAAGGCAUAAGGAAGCUUGACUGUGAGACCUACAAGUCGAGCAGGGACGAAAGUCGGUCUUAGUGAUCUGACGGUGCUGAGUGGAAAGGCCGUCACUCAACGGAUAAAAGUUACUCUAAGGAUAACAGGCUGAUCUCCCCCAAGAGUUCACAUCGACGGGGAGGUUUGGCACCUCGAUGUCGGCUCAUCGCAUCCUGGGGCGGUAGUACGUCCCAAGGGUUGGGCUGUUCGCCCAUGAAAGCGGUACGCGAGCUGGGUUCAGAACGUCGUGAGACAGUUCGGUCCAUAUCCGGUGUAGGCGUUAGAAUAUUGAGAGGAGGCUUCUUUAGUACGAGAGGACCGAGAAGGACAUACCUCUGGUGUACCAGUUAUCGUGCCAACGGUAAACGCUGGGUAGCUAUGUAUGGAGUGGAUAACCGCUGAAAGCAUCUAAGUGGGAAGCCCACCUCAAGAUGAGUACUCCCAUGGGGUUAACCCAGCAAGGUCACGGGAAGACCACCCGUUUAUAGGUUCUAGAUGGAAGUCCAGUAAUGGAU
rnacentral:rRNA from 1 species